UCCAGCAGUGGUCAGCUCUACAGACCAAAUCAUGCCUGUGAUGGUGUUACCCUGCUGGGAGAGGAAUGUCCUAUCUUUUUCCUCCUGUUGCCCCCUUCACUGCUCUGUGACAUGUGGCACUGCUGCAAGGCUGAACUGUGCUUCCUUGAGAGCGAACUAAACAUUACUUUGGCUGUUUAGUUGUAGUGUGGGAGCAUACACA